rnacentral:rRNA from 1 species
AGAGUUUGAUCCUGGCUCAGAUUGAACGCUGGCGGCAUGCUUUACACAUGCAAGUCGAACGGUAACGCGGGGGCAACCCUGGCGACGAGUGGCGAACGGGUGAGUAAUACAUCGGAACAUAUCCAGUAGCGGGGGAUAACCUAUCGAAAGAUGGACUAAUACCGCAUACGAUCUACGGAUGAAAGCAGGGGACCGCAAGGCCUUGCACUAUUGGAGUGGCCGAUGUCGGAUUAGCUAGUUGGUGAGGUAAAGGCUUACCAAGGCGACGAUCCGUAGCUGGUCUGAGAGGACGAUCAGCCACACUGGAACUGAGACACGGUCCAGACUCCUACGGGAGGCAGCAGUGGGGAAUUUUGGACAAUGGGCGCAAGCCUGAUCCAGCCAUGCCGCGUGAGUGAAGAAGGCCUUCGGGUUGUAAAGCUCUUUCGGUGAAGACGAAACGGUUCGUGCUAAUAACGCGGACUAAUGACGGUACUCACAGAAGAAGCACCGGCUAACUACGUGCCAGCAGCCGCGGUAAUUCCAGCUCCAAUAGCGUAUAUUAAAGUUGUUGCGUCUAAAAAGCUCGUAGUUUGAAAACUUGCCUUGGCUUACAACAGACGUCUAAGGGCGUCACCGUUUGUCGAGAGCAAAUAUGGGUGACUGUUCUUGCCUUCUUCACUGAUUGGCUCGUAAAAGUCAUCGAAGAUCACUUUGAUUAAAUUAGGGUGCUCAAAGCAAGUGUGCUACUUGAAUAUGAAUGCAUGGAAUGAUGGAAUAUGUUGUUGUUCUAUUUGUUGGUUUUUUGAAUGACGAAAUGAUUGAAAGGAACUGUUGGGGGCAUUCGUAUUGUUGUGAGAGAGGUGAAAUUCUUAGACCAUAGCAAGACGAACUACUGCGAAAGCAUUUGCCAAGAAUGUUUUCAUUGAUCAAGAACGAAAGUUAGAGGUUCGAAGGCGAUCAGAUACCGCCCUAGUUCUAACCAUAAACUAUGCCGACUAGCAAUUUGCUUUGUAUUUUUAUGACUAAGUGAGAGGCCACGGGAAACCAAAGUAGGGUUAUGGGGGAAGUAUGGUUGCAAAGCUGAAACUUAAAGGAAUUGACGGAAGGGCACCACCAGGAGUGGAGCCUGCGGCUUAAUUUGACCCAACACGGGAAAACUUACCUGGUCCUGACACUAGAAGGAUUGACAGAUUGAUAGCUCUUUCUUGAUUUGGUGGAUGGUGGUGCAUGGCCGUUCUUAGUUGGUGGAGUGAUUUGUCUGGUUAAUUCCGAUAACGAACGAGACUCUAGCCUAUUAAAUAAUAUGCGGAAUCAAUUUCUCCCGCGUUAUUUCUUAAUGGGAUCAAGCGUGUUUAACGCUUUGAAACAGAGCAAUAACAGGUCUGUGAUGCCCUUAGAUGUUCGGGGCUGCACGCGCGCUACAUUGAAGAACAAAGUGAGCCCUCUGGCUUUUAACAAAGCUAGAAAUCUUUUAAUGUUCUUCUUAAUGGGGAUAGGGGAUUGCAAUUGUGCCCCUUGAACGAGGAAUUCCCAGUAAGUGCUAGUCAUUAGCUAGUACUGAUUGCGUCCCUGCCCUUUGUACACACCGCCCGUCGCUACUACCGAUUGAAUAGUUUAGUGAGAUCAUCUGAGUGUUUGUAUGUGCAUUCUGUGCUUGUAUGGUGUACGAAGAAGAUCAAACUUGAUUAUUUAGAGGAAGUAAAAGUC